CGUUCUCGGGCCUUGUACACACCGCCCGUCACACCACGAAAGCCGGCAACACCCGAAGCCGGUGUCCUAACCCGCAAGGGAGGGAGCCGUCGAAGGUGGGGUUGGUGAUUGGGGUGAAGUCGUAAACAAGGUACCC
rnacentral:rRNA from 1 species